rnacentral:lncRNA from 1 species
UGUAGUUUAAUUAUGCAUGGUAGCUAGUAUCGUGUUAGUGUUAAGUUUUGGUUUUAUAUUUUGUUAGUCCCUGCACUUGGUUGAAUUGAAGGCUUAAUAAAGGGAUGUUAUUUCAGUAAUUCAUUACGUUGUUCCAAUAUAGUUUUUUUAUUCCUGUUUUCUAUUGGAAAUAAAGGUUGCUGAAAGGUUAUGAGCAACUAAUGUGUUUUCUCAAUGGAAUAAUGCAGCAGCAAAAGGUUAUUAGCUGUAAUUGGUUAUGUCAUAAGUUUACUUGGCAUAUGAACUGAGUUUUUCACAAAAGUAUAUAUGAGCUAUUCUCAUAGCUUGAAAGCUUCAUAGGAAGCAUUAGACAGUUAGAUAUAAGACUGAUUAAAUGGACCUGGAAGUGAUGGAGUCAAUGCUUUUGACUUAUGGUUGUUAUGCACUUUUGUACCAAGUCUAUGAUUAAUGCUUCAUGUAAGUAAAGAGCUUAUUCAUUGAUUAUAAGAGCUCAUGGACACUUUUCUUGUUCAUAGCCUCUGAUAGUUCUGAGUAAGUAGCAUUUGCUUGACAGAAGCAUGCAAUAAGCUUUAUAGCUUAACUGAAUCCAUUGGCCAAUAAAGAAUCAUGCUUGCAAAUUCAUUAAAGUUCUUUCUGGAAUUAACUAUUUGACCUAGUGGGAGAAUGUUGGAUGUUAGACUCUAAUCCAACGGCUAAUAGGUCAAUAUAGUUAAUAAGGAUUGAUGUGGAAUGUAAAUACGAUUAGGGUUUAGUUAUAUGCUAUAACUUG